rnacentral:rRNA from 1 species
GAUGAACGCUAGCUACAGGCUUAACACAUGCAAGUCGAGGGGAAACGACAUCGAAAGCUUGCUUUUGAUGGGCGUCGACCGGCGCACGGGUGAGUAACGCGUAUCCAACCUGCCCACCACUUGGGGAUAACCUUGCGAAAGUAAGACUAAUACCCAAUGACGUCUCUAGAAGACAUCUGAAAGAGAUUAAAGAUUUAUCGGUGAUGGAUGGGGAUGCGUCUGAUUAGCUUGUUGGCGGGGUAACGGCCCACCAAGGCGACGAUCAGUAGGGGUUCUGAGAGGAAGGUCCCCCACAUUGGAACUGAGACACGGUCCAAACUCCUACGGGAGGCAGCAGUGAGGAAGAUUGGUCAAUGGACGAGAGUCUGAACCAGCCAAGUAGCGUGCAGGAUGACGGCCCUAUGGGUUGUAAACUGCUUUUAUAAGGGAAUAAAGUGAGUCUCGUGAGACUUUUUGCAUGUACCUGAUGAAUAAGGACCGGCUAAUUCCGUG